UAGUGGCGGACUGGUGAGUAACGCGUGAGGAACCUGCCUUUCAGAGGGGGACAACAGUUGGAAACGACUGCUAAUACCGCAUGACGCAUGACCGGGGCAUCCCGGACAUGCCAAAGAUUUAUCGCUGAAAGAUGGCCUCGCGUCCGAUUAGAUAGUUGGCGGGGUAACGGCCCACCAAGUCGACGAUCGGUAGCCGGACUGAGAGGUUGGCCGGCCACAUUGGGACUGAGAUACGGCCCAGACUCC
rnacentral:rRNA from 1 species